GCGGGAUGUAGGCCUUCGGGUUGUAAACCGCUUGUUGAUUGGGAGCAAGCCUUUUGGGUGAGUGUACCUUUCGAAUAAGCGCCGGCUAACUACGUGCCAGCAGCCGCGGUAAU
rnacentral:rRNA from 1 species